UCCUCCUCGGCCGCACGGCCUCUCUUCUCUUCUCUCUCUCUCUUCCUUCCUCAUCUCUCUGCUCUCGCCGAAAUCGCCACUUCCCGACCACUACCACACUACACCGCCACCACCAUUUGAACCAUAACACAAACCCGACCAAGACCCAGUCGUUUCGCCGUCGAUCAAGACGUUCCGGUCACGGCACUCGACCUCCAAACCUGCGACGCCACUGUUCCACGACCUUCACCGGUUUCCAGUCGUCUCCUUUACCACACCACCAUCACUGCUGCACUCAGUGAGCAAUGGAGAAGAAAACCCAGAGGUUCCGUCACCCACCGAUGCCGGACGAGGCCGUACAAGUCGUCGCCGGAAUCUGGGAUUCUGCAAGUAUCGAUUCGUCGUUUCCAGCCACUCAAGCUGCACAACCACCAUAGUUGGAAUCAGAGCCUCCUCAUUCUUCAAAACCCUUUGGUCCCGACCUUUGCUUUGGCCAGAACCGCUGCACGCGCUGCCGCUGCCGUGUGGACCACCAUGGCUCCGCCACCGGAUUUCCAGGCCACCUUUAUUAGUUUUUGAUUAUGCGUUCUGAAGUUUUUGGAGAAAGGAAUGGGCAUUGGUUCAGUUUGAUGUAUAAUGAAGGAAGGAGUUCGAAUGGUUGUUGGUGGUGGAGGACUACACUUAUUUAGAAUUGGCCCUCUGUUUGGAGAUGAAGAAUUGGUAAGGAAUUGGGUUUGGUGACCUUAUAAUUGCUAUAAUUGGUUUGGUCAAAUUAUUGAA